AAAGGCCACCUUCAAAUAAAGAAAAUGCAGCAGUGGGAUAUUAAUAUUACUAAUAAGGUGUAUAGAUAUUUAUUUUAAAACAUCAGCAUAUUAAAUGAUACUGUGUGCACUUGAUAAUAUUUUCAGGAAGUAGAAUUUGAAUGCAGGCCACCUCAAAUGUUAAAGCCUACAAAUAUAUCAUACAAGUUAACUGAAUCUUAACUGAUGCUGAUUUUAGUUGUCUGAUUCUGUAUUUUUUCCUCUUUGUCUUUUGUUACACAGAGUGAAAUACAUCGUUAGUUUUACCUUUGCUGACUGCUGAUCUGAUCGUCUUAGUUUGAGUGAACAGAUCUUUGGUUUUGCCUUUGCUGGUAAGUAGACAGUGAUGUUUAGUAAUUUACUUACAGUUUGGGUAUUUGUGACAUCUUGCCAUUUGCUCUGGGCAAAAACACAUAGUCAGCAUUUAUAAUCUGUAGCAGCAAACCCCCCACAGAGGACCUCUGACUGCCCUGAAAAUGUCCCUGAAGUUUAA